UAUGUCCUACUUCCCCACUUUCUUUGUGUGUUUGCAUGUUCGUAGGAAAGAAGGGCUGCCUGGUAUGUGUCUUCUUCAGAAGACUUUACUUGCACCAGUUUACUUAGAUACUUCUAGUCACCGUUGAUGUUUAGCUGAGCAGAGGAUUUUCCUUUAGGUUGUACCAAUCCACAGAUCAAACUUGCCAUACACCAUUGCUGUCGUAUUUUGGCCCUGAUGGAGCAGAUGUAAUCCUAUAAUCAAAGUUGUCCCAGUCGUGACCAACGCAUCUUGUUUUCAUGAAUAGUGUACCCUUUCAACUUUUAAAAUUUCGAUGAUGACAAAAUAAUUUCCCGAAGUGACAUUGAACAAGCAAUCUUAUGCUUAAUCAAGAUGAACCACCCAUGUGAUGACGACAUCUUGUCUGAAGAACAAAUUGAGUUUCUCAUUGACAAAGUAAUGGAUGAAGCAGACAUGGAUAUUGAGGAUGGUAUUGGAUAUGCAGAGUUCUGCAGCUUGAUGAGGAAAAAACCAGAAUUCCUAGAGUAAGUACAAUUUUAAUCACUUAGCAACAAUGUACAGCAGCUGCAAACACACAUACAUACACACACACACACUGCAGCUAAAAUAAGUCUGUCCCAACGAAAAGACGAACUAAGUGGUCGAAGUAUUAGAAGUUAACAGGAUAUAACAUUAUCCAAUAAUCCACACAAAAUGAUCAGAUUUGUAGAUUUAACAGACCUAGUUCAAUAUAGCAAUCUGUAUAUGUAUUCUU